AGGUGAUGGAGGUGAUAGAGGUGAGGGUUGAUAUAGAUGAUAGAGAUGAUGGAGGUGAGGGUUGUUAUAGAUGAUAGAGGUGAUGGAGGUGAUAGAGGUGAGGGUUGAUAUAGAUGAUAGAGGUGAUGGAGGUGAUAGAGGUGAGGGUUGAUAUAGAUGAUAGAGGUGAUGGAGGUGAGGGUUGAUAUAGAUGAUAGAGGUGAUGGAGGUGAUAGAGGUGAGGGUUGAUAUAGUUGACAGAGGUGAUGGAGGUGAUAGAGGUGAGGGUUGAUAUAGAUGAUAGAGGUGAUGGAGGUGAUAGAGGUGAGGGUUGAUAUAGAUGAUAGAGGUGAUGGAGGUGAGGGUUGAUAUAGAUGAUAGAGGUGAUGGAGG
ensembl:lncRNA